ensembl:snRNA
GUGUUUGAUGAGAGGGUGAGCACUUUCCUUGAUGAAGAUGGAAGAGGCCCCGGGCCCGACAGCACACAUACGGCUAAGGCCUUGCCAUCUACUUUGUGGCAUCUAACCGUAGUUUUUA